rnacentral:rRNA from 1 species
CGUGGGAUUAGCUAGUUGGUGAGGUAAUGGCUCACCAAGGCGACGAUCCCUAGCUGGUUUGAGAGGAUGAUCAGCCACACUGGAACUGAGACACGGUCCAGACUCCUACGGGAGGCAGCAGUGGGGAAUAUUGGACAAUGGGCGCAAGCCUGAUCCAGCCAUGCCGCGUGUGUGAAGAAGGCCUUCGGGUUGUAAAGCACUUUCAGUAAGGAGGAAGAGUUGAGUGUUAAUAGUACUCAGCUUAGACGUACUACAGAAGAAG